UCCUUGACAAGCAUCGCACCCCACUCCCUAAGAAGUAAUUUUAUCUCUUUUUCCCCUUCAAACAUUGUAUAGUUCUCAUAGGAAAAUAUUGCAAUGCCAGUGUAUAUUACUAUCCACAAAAAAAAGAAAAGAGCAAGGAAUGGAAGGGGGGAGAGAGAGAGAAGGAGAGAGAGAGGAGAGAGAGAGAAGGAGAGAGAGAGAGAGAGGAGACUGUUUAGAAAUACAGUUUGUGGCUCUGAGCUAUGCCUCUGGCUUCCUCUGCAGUUCGCUGGUUUCCCUUUUUCUUUGCGAGGUGUGUGGUGUGAGUAUGUGUGUGUGUGAGUGUGUGUGUGUGUGUGUGUGUGUAAUAAACAACUUUAAAAUAGGGGAGGGGGCAGCGUGAUCCAUCCAGAGACAGGUAUCUAUUUUGCUCACAAUUUACUACCAAGUGCCUUUGGCAGGCACUUGAGCAGGACCUCAUAAGCCUGCAGACCAAGUUGAAGUUCAUCUGGCCCUAGUCCACAUGCUAUUCCUGGAGGUAGCAAACUUGAGCUCAAAGGAGUUAGGUGAAAUUGUAUUCUUCUUUAUAUACCGAUUUUAAUAAAAGAAGGAAAGAUAUUUGUCCCGGGGGGGUGGGGGGAGAGGAAAUGGAGAGAAAACACCAGGAGAUGGACAUUUCUCUUGCUAAAAUGACUGCAGUUGAGUCCUGAAGCCAAAAUAGAAAGCUGUAGAUGGACACCUCCCCACCCCACCCCCACUCCCCCACCCCCUAGUUUAUAAAUAGAAGUUUCCAGCAUCCUAUUUGGAAGAUUUUCUUUUCUAAUACUUCCAGGCAUUGGAUGAUUUUAAAGAUCUGUUGGUAGUGACAGUAAGGUUAGAUGCUGUUCAAGACAACCAAGUGACUUGAGCAGAGACAACCAGGAAACGGGUAUUCACUAAAUACUCUCUUCCUCACCUCAGGUUUGAAGGGUUUACCAGAGUGUUUUCUUGAAAAGACUAAUUUAUUCUGGCCUUGGUGGUCAGGAAUGGCAUCCUAAAUUUCUAAGUUGUCGUUUGCUGAGCCCCGAGGAGUUCCAGUUAUGGGUUGAGCCAUGACUAGAUGUCAAAAUCUUUCCUUCCCUCUGUCCCCUGCUGGGGAUAUCCCCCUCGGUUGUG
rnacentral:lncRNA from 1 species